CGAGUGGCGAACGGGUGAGUAAUACAUCGGAACGUGUCCGCUCGUGGGGGACAACCAGCCGAAAGGUUGGCUAAUACCGCAUGAGUUCUACGGAAGAAAGAGGGGGACCCGCAAGGGCCUCUCGCGAGCGGAGCGGCCGAUGACUGAUUAGCCGGUUGGUGAGGUAACGGCUCACCAAAGCAACGACCAGUAGCUGGUCUGAGAGGACGACCAGCCACACUGGGACUGAGACACGGCCCAGACUCCUACGGAAGGCAGCAG
rnacentral:rRNA from 1 species